UACGUAGGUGGCAAGCGUCGUCCGGAUUUAUUGGGCGUAAAGCGAGCGCAGGCGGUUCCUUAAGUCUGAUGUGAAAGCCCACGGCUCAACCGUGGAAGGUCAUUGGAAACUGGGGAACUUGAGUGCAGAAGAGGAGAGUGGAAUUCCAUGUGUAGCGGUGAAAUGCGUAGAUAUAUGGAGGAACACCAGUGGCGAAGGCGACUCUCUGGUCUGUAACUGACGCUGAGGCUCGAAAGCGUGGGGAGCAAACAGGAUUAGA
rnacentral:rRNA from 1 species